rnacentral:rRNA from 1 species
UUAGAGUUUUGAACCUGGCUCAGGACGAACGCUGGCGGCGUGCCUAAUACAUGCAAGUAGAACGCUGAAGAGAGGAGCUUGCUCUUCUUGGAUGAGUUGCGAACGGGUGAGUAACGCGUAGGUAACCUGCCUGGUAGCGGGGGAUAACUAUUGGAAACGAUAGCUAAUACCGCAUAAAAUGGAUUAUCGCAUGAUAAUCCAUUAAAAGGUGCAAAUGCAUCACUACCAGAUGGACCUGCGUUGUAUUAGCUAGUUGGUGGGGUAACGGCUCACCAAGGCGACGAUACAUAGCCGACCUGAGAGGGUGAUCGGCCACACUGGGACUGAGACACGGCCCAGACUCCUACGGGAGGCAGCAGUAGGGAAUCUUCGGCAAUGGACGGAAGUCUGACCGAGCAACGCCGCGUGAGUGAAGAAGGUUUUCGGAUCGUAAAGCUCUGUUGUAAGAGAAGAACGAGUGUGAGAGUGGAAAGUUCACACUGUGACGGUAUCUUACCAGAAAGGACGGCUAACUACUCAGAC